rnacentral:lncRNA from 1 species
GCAAGAAAUAUUAUUUCUCUUAUCUUACUGUUGAUGUUUGAGCAGGGUAUUGAGCUGUGUUUAUAUUCUGUAUUAGAGUCCUAACUAUUUUUCCCUGCCUUUCCUUCCUAGUAGAAGUGACGUAACUUAAUGGGUAAAAUGUGGACUCUGGACUUCUAUGGCCUUGGCCCAGAUUCCACCAUGGGGCCUACCACUCAUGCCUGCCAUGCUUCCGUUCCUUUUCUGCAAGAGUAGUAUUAGUAACAUCUUAGGACUGCUUUGAGGUUGAAAUGAAUUAAUAUUUUUAAAGCACUUAGAAUACUGUCUCAGACUCAAGAUAUUAGAUAUUAUCAUUUUAUCUUACAUAUUCUGAAUUACUCUGCAAAAAAAAUUUGGCAACCAAAUAUUAUCUCUCACCUUAUUGCUGCUAGUGCCUUGAUUUUUUUCUUUUUUUCUUUUUCCUUUUCUUUUUCUUUUUUAGUUUUCUUCAAGUAAUUCAGAAGUAGAUCCUGACUGGGCUAGGACAGGGAUUGACAAACUAUAGCCCAUCAGCCAGAUCUGGUCCACAGCCCAUGUUUGUAGCCUACAAGCAGAGAAUAAAUUUUUAUUACUAAAUGGUUGAAAAUUAAGAAUAUUUUGUGGCAUAUUAAAAUUAUAUUCAAAUUUCAAUGUCUAUAACUGAAGUGUUUUGAGAAAACUCAUACAAACAAACCACAUUUCUUUUUUUUUUUUUUUUUUUUGGUACCAGGGAUCGAACUCAGGUCCUUGCGCUUGCACAGCAGGCAGUGAAACCACUGAGCUAAAUCCCUGGCGCAAACCCCAUUUCUUUAGGGCUUGCCUGUGGCAGCCUUUACACUAUACCAGCAGAGUUGAAUAGCUGUGCACAGAGCCCAAGACAUUUACUACACGGCACUUUACAAAGUAAGUUUUCUGUUACCUAGAGCCAAAAACAUUACAGCCACCUACAAGUAUACUUUUAUAAAGGUCAUGUGUUUUGGAAAUGAUGCACACAGCAAUCUGUGGCUAAGUUUUUUCUGUAGUAUAUGUAUUUUGUGCACUAUAUAUGUUAAAAGCUUAAGCUUAAUAGUAUUUUUUCAAUGAAAUGUGUUUUUUUACUAGCUGAAUUGUCAUAAUAUCAAAAAGAAAAAUUUCUUGGUGGAGUGUAACAAAUAUAUGAAAUAAAUGUUGUCUAAAUGAAACUGAA